GCAGGGGUGGUUCAGUGGCAGACUUCUUGCCUUCCAUGUGGGACACCAGGGUUCGAUUCCCGGCCAAUGCA
rnacentral:tRNA from 1 species